rnacentral:misc_RNA from 1 species
ACACUGGACCCUGAGAUAUUGUAUGGAUAUAACUGCCACUCAGAGACUGCUGCCCCCCCACCCCCGGGUCAGCUGUAACUCCUCAGGCCACCGGGACGAUGUUUGUGAUAUACGGAGCAACAGAUCCACUUUUACGCGGUGGGGACCGGUAUCGUGGGCUUCGUCUCAUGGACACUGUCCUCCCUCCCCAGUAACACAGAGUUCCUCUCAGUGGCCUUUGCUUUCCUGUACGUCACAUUGUUCUUGGGACUCGUCAUUGCAGCCACAGGACUUUUAGGAUGCCUCGGCGGGUUGUUCAGAAGCAUCUGUCUACUCAAACUUUAUAUCGGAUUAAUGGUGGCUUUCGUUUUCGUGGAGGUUGCCAUAGCAAUAGGUGCUUACACUCAGAAGGAUCAGGUAGGACAGUGACGUCAUAUGACGCGAUGAAGACGUCAAACACCGAUACAUCAUGUCUGUAUAUGUCAGGAUCUGUAGUGUUUGUUUGCUUCGAUAAAAACUUUUCACCGACCAAUGUAUGAGAUAUCUCUGUUAACAGAUUCCAACACUGAUCACCUCCACGUGGCCCCAGCUCAACAACGACACAAAGUUCACACUCCAGGCCGGGCUGGAGUGUUGUGGGGUCAACAACUACACAGAGUACGGCGCCCACCUAGCGGACCUCCCCCUCAGCUGCUUCAAGGUCUAUGACACCCUGUCGGUCCACACCAAAUCAUGGACUCUUCUCUUCACGACGCCAUGCCUUCAGCAGCUUCAGCACUGGUUCGAUGCUAACCUACCAGUCUGGGCGACAAUACUGGUUCUCAUCUGCCUCAUACAAUUUAUGAGUAUGGGGCUAAGCGUGGGAGUAAUGGUGGGUAUAGAAGAGAGAACCAAAGUCCACCCGGCUCCGGAUCCACCUGACGAGGAACAACCUGCAGACGGCGCAACCAUUGUCUGUUCCGAAUCGCCUCAUCUUCAAUCGUCACGCAUGAGCGAGUUCUCGGACCAGCAGUCCCUGUCCUCGGGGGACACAACAAACCGGAAGUUGUCGCAAGUUCCAGAAGAAGAGGAGGAUUACCUGUCGUCGGGUGUCGUCUGCUGUGACUCCAAGGACGACCUCAGCACCACAAGGUCCCCAGCGUCGUCUGUCCGGCACUUGGUGACAGAAGGCACGGAGGAGACUGGUGUUGGGAAAAAUGAAGUGAACGAGGAGGAAGCGGUCAUAUCCGAGGGUCCAGACAAGUCCGAGGACUCAAUCCCAAGUCACAGGGACCUCCUGGUGGCUUACAGUGAAGAAACCAGGAGAUAUGAGAAUCAGCCAACGCCAGAGACCAAUGAGUUGGAUAACUUCCAGUCCACAGGACUUCAACAAAACAGUGGAGAAAACGCCGCCCAGCAAGAUGAUGUCCGCGGCCAGACAGCGUCUCCCAUCUCCUCACAACCUCCUGAAGACACCUCCGCUGGUGAUAGAGAUGAAGAUAAUAUCGAUGACGUCACCACUGGAAGACAUGUUGAUAAAGGAAGAAUGGGCAUCCAGACAGGACUGGAAGGAGGCGUCCAAUUUCAAGAAAACGACGUCCAGCAUCAGACACUGGAAAGUGAUCAACACGAGACUUCGAAAGAUGCAGACAACAUUUCUAAUGUUCAACCUAGUGAGAGCGAGAUUAAAACAUGCGAACUACAGGAAGGGAGCGGUGACAAAUUAUCGAACAAGAACUUAAGGAAUCACGAAGAAGUGACACUUUGUAGAGAGGGGACAUUUGAUAUUUCAAAGGACGAGAAUCGAGCAUCACAGAACAAUUGAGUACCGUAAUCCAAUUACAUGUACAUGUACCAGCGAUAUACUACGAGUUAUCCCGCCUUGCGUACUUAACGAAUUUACCGCAAAUCGAAUCAAGUCAAAUUGCACUUACUUGUUUAAUUUAUGCGUACUUUGCUGUAGGAAUAAAUCAACUGUAAAU